GUCCGGAAUGCGGUUCGAUAAAAUUGCUCCCCUUGUUUAUUUCGCUCUCCUGUCAAAUCAUGUAAUUUCGCUAACUCCAAUGGUAGACGCUACAACGAUGGGUGUCGUCAAGAAAGUUACGAUUAAAGGAAUCGGCUAGGAAUUAGACGAUCACCAUUGGUAUAGGUGAGUUGUUUAAUAGUUGUUGCUUUGGGAUAACUGCAUCUUUUGGAUUAAUUCAUAAUCAGGAAUAGCUGGAAGGGAAAGAAACGUGUUGCUACGUGAACCCGGAAAGCGAUGGAAGAUUUUUUUCAAAAAAUCUAGAGACGAUCGUUCUGAGUGUGCCACUUACACAUUCAAACGUGUACACAAGCACAGUAUUCCCUAUCUAUGUAAUGUGUUUUAAUUAUU
rnacentral:lncRNA from 1 species